rnacentral:misc_RNA from 1 species
UGGCUCUGGCAUCGAUGAAGAACGCAGCGAAAUGCGAUACGUAAUGCGAAUUGCAGCCUCCUCGUGAGUCAUCGAAUCUUUGAACGCACAUUGCGCCCUCUAGUAUUCUGGUGGGCAUGCCUGUUCGAGCGUCGUCAACACCCCUCAAGCCUAGCUUGGCGUUGGGACCCUAUACUCUUUAGUGUAGGCCCCUAAAACUAGUGGCAGGACCGCAGCGGACCUGGGCGUAGUAACACUACCCGCCUCGGGCUCCGCAGCGUGGGCUGCCGUAAAGCCGUCGCCUGGCGACACUUAUCAUCUUGACCUCGGAUCAGGUAGGAAUACCCGCUGA